GAUGAACGCUAGCGGCAGGCUUAACACAUGCAAGUCGAGGGGUAUAGUAGCAAUACUAGAGACCGGCGCACGGGUGCGUAACGCGUAUGCAACCUACCUUUUACAGAGGGAUAGCCCAGAGAAAUUUGGAUUAAUACCUCAUAGUGUUAUUAGAUGGCAUCAUUUGAUAACUAAAGUUCCAACGGUAAAGAUGGGCAUGCGUCCUAUUAGCUAGAUGGUAAGGUAACGGCUUACCAUGGCUACGAUAGGUAGGGGUCCUGAGAGGGAGAUCCCCCACACUGGUACUGAGACACGGACCAGACUCCUACGGGAGGCAGCAGUGAGGAAUAUUGGACAAUGGGCGCAAGCCUGAUCCAGCAAUGCCGCGUGCCAGGAUGAAGGCC
rnacentral:rRNA from 1 species